rnacentral:lncRNA from 1 species
CCUAGAUGCCAUGAUUCCCAAAUCGGGUCUGGCCACAUCUCCCUCUCUUUCCCCUGCCUCCUUCUCCAGCACAGGCCGCCACCACAGCCAGGCCGGCGUGGGGCGCGCCACCAGCUCCACUUCGUCGCCGCACCUCCGCACUCCAUGCAUCCAUUCGCUGCACCGCGACCCAUCCACCAUAACUACCACGAGUCCCUUGCUGCACCUCACGCCACCAAUCUGAAUCUCUUCUUCCUUCUUGCUGUUGUUCAUCUCAACCUCGUUGUUGUUCAUCAUUGCUACUGCCCGUAGCUCUCUUCUUCUCUCUCAAACUUGUUGGUGUUGAUGCCCUCAACCUCCUGCUGCUCCUCUCUUCUUGCGCUCCUGCUGUUGCCCCUUCUACCCCUACCUCGCUACUGCUCUGCUUCUUUUCCAUCCCCACGCUGUUGCUCUCUACACCCCUGCUGCUGCUUCUUUCCCAGUCUUGCAAUAGCCCUUCUGCAUCUCCAACUUGCUACUGCUCCUCUGAACCUCUUCUCCUCCUAGUCUUGCUUCUAUCUUGCCGCUUCCCUGUAGCAGUUCCUUUCCUUCACCCGCUGCUCUCUUUGUGUGUGUGUGUGUGUGCGUGUGUGUGUGUGUUCGUGUGUGUGAGAUUGUGUGUGUUUGUACUUCAUAAGUAUUGAUAGUGUGUGAUGAAGAGAUAUGUUAAUUCCAGGGACAUGUAGUUGUUCUUAUAAUUUUGUUGAUCAGUGAGAAUUGGUACUGAUGCUUAUGACCUUCUAUUUCUAUGUAUGAGAUCUAGCCAAACCUGUCAUUUUAUAUAUUGUAAUUGCUGAAUAGUGUUCAGUUUUCAGUCCCUGUUUUAGCUCUAGUACCCGUGACAUAUAUGUUCGUGAUAUAUGUUUCAUGUGGUUUCGUAUUGCUGUUAUGUUGAUCAUUUUAGUGCUAGUACUGUGUCUUGUGUAAUCCAAACCAUAUAUGAUUUGUGUAUGUGACUAAUUGUCAGCUAGUAGCUUUUAAUAAUUCAUAUUGUUUCUUGUGAAUUUGUAGAAGUGAGAUGUAUGAACAUUUAAUUUCCAGUCUCUGUGUUAACGAUGUUAGUGUGAAUAUAUAUAUAUAUAUAUAUAUAUAUAUAUAUAUAUAUAUAUAUGUUUUUGUUGUGAUAUAUUUCUGUCCCUGUCGUACUAGCGUGUUCCUACCUUGUCUCAUACUUGCUAGUUAUAUAUAUACAUAUAUGUGGUCUUGUCUUGUCAAUUCCCCUUGUUGAGGAUGUCCGUCUGUAGUUUCAAUUUUCUCAAGUGAUAUGAAAACACCAAAAAAAGAGCGAGUUUCAAUCUUAAUCUCCUCGUGCCGUUUGUCAUUUUAUUUGUCAUCAUUCUAGAUUUGUAUUUUCUUCUUUCAUCAUCUAAAUUCUGUCACCUAGCUUUAGCCGAGCAUUGUUGCCGUCGCCUAGUCCCUGUGGAGAACACGACACUGCAGAUUUGGGCGAAAUACCCUGUUGUACUUACGAUUGAUCAUUUUGGCACCGUUGCCAGGGACUAGCGUCGAGUGACUGUGUUAGGCUAUAGACUAGGUUUUUCUUCUUUUUCUAGUUUGUGCCAUAUAUUUGUGAUAUAUCUCUAACCACUAACCCCUGCUCUAGUUAGUAUCUUUUUUGUUUUCUUUUCCUUUUUGCAUGUUAGAAUUAUCUUCUCGGUUAUGGCUUACUAUGCAGUUCAUCAGGCUUAUGCGAGCAACACUACAAACAACACGGAAAGUAUUCAAGAACUGAUAACUAAGAUUUCCCAUCAAUUAGAUGACUUAGCUCGGCGACGAGAAGUAGUUUUUGAGGAUAGGCCUAGCUCUUAUGAUCCUUAUUCUAGAGGCCAUCCUUAUGUUGCUCCUACCUGCCAUAUUUGUGGAUUUCAGGGCCAUUCGCCCGCUGAAUGUCAGCGUGGUUACUCCCAUCCUCCGGAUUGUUUUGGCAUGAGCUUCGCUCAACAGCAUAGCUCAUACCAAAACAAUUACCCAUAUGGGUGGCCUGAAAACCCGAGUAUGUCAUAUAGGAGCAACAACCCUGAGAUCUCAUCGUUUUCUUCUAGUAAUCAUAUGCAGGGAUUUAGGUAUGAAGAGGAGAGCCACAACCAUGCACCACAACAGUUUUAUUCACCUCCUACUCAUAUACCUCAAUACCAGGAGAUGUGUCCAAUGGAGUUAAAUGGUCCUCCAUUUGAUCAACCAACAACUCCAUCACCUUCCAAGCAAUCUCUUGUGCAAGUGCCCACACAAGAUGAAUUUGAUGAUAUAGAGAAGCUCACAUUGCUUAGUCUCGAGUUCACUUGGAGUGCUGAAGAUGAUCCAAUUAGGCCGGUGAUACUAGAUGAAAUGAAGAAGAUCAAGAGUGGGAAUGAGCUAGUGGAAGAAGUAAGGAAGAUUGAGAAGAACAUCAACGCUGGCAGCACUAUUUCUUUAUAGCUAGAGCUGAGUAUUUCUGGGAUUUCCAUUGAUACUUGUGAGGUUUCAAUGCCUUCACAUCCAGCUGAGGAAGAUAGUAAGAGCCGUGAGGAAGAGAUACCUCAGAUUCAAGAAGAUGUACUCGAAGACAAGGAACAAGAUGAUCCAGAGCUUGACUACCCAAGUGAUCAAGUUGAAGAUCCAAUGUCUAUCCCUCCUGAAGAAGUAAAAGAAGUUGUUGUAGUUGAAGAUGAAGAACCAGAGAAUCAUUUGCCAAUUGUCAUUCAAGAGUGUGAUAUUGUAGGUUUAUCUAACCCUCUUGAUGACAUGCUCCCAUAUGAAUUGUUUGCUACUACCUUGCAUUGCAUGAUGCCGUCUGUUAAAGUAGAUUUUAAAAAGUAUUUGCUUGGAUGUGAUGAUAUAUACCCUGUUUGUGGCAUUACUCUCAUUUGUGAUGAUCACACUUAUUUUCCUCAUGCCAAACCUAUGCUUAAUGAUAAAUAUAAUCUUAAUGCUAGUAUUGAGCUUGUUGAUUCCUAUCACCAUAAACAUGUGCUUUAUAGCUAUGCUUAUGUAAUUGGAUAUUUGAUUGAUGACUUGGAGGGUAUUAUCCCUACCGCUUGCAUCGUCUCUUUUGUGGAGUGUACUUUCAGGUUUUUGCUUCUGCAUCAUUCACUUCAUGCUGACCAGGUUCGAGGUGACAUUCCUUGGGACCCUGGUGGACUCAGAGCAUGGGGAUGAGGAGAAGCAAGGAGCACACAUGAAGAAGAGUGAAGCUGGAGCAUGCACGAGGAAGCAAAGGAGAGGAGCUGCAGUUGGUGAGGUGAUCGAGCGAGUGCUACAUCAUCAAAGCCCGGUGAGCUGUUUCAUGACCCAUUUUGAAAUCAUCAUCCAUUGAUGCUUGCUAAAUUAAAUUGCUUUUUGGGUUGCUUGUGCCAUUUCUUAAAUGUUGUCCCACUGAAUUUCACCUUUGACAUAUGGUGCUUGAUGAGAAUAUGCGAACUGAUUGUUGAAUGCCUUGUAAACUAGUGAUCUACACAAUGCUUGCUUUGCUGAAAGUAGUGAAGGCUACUAGUUUUGAGUGCUCAAAUCCCUAGUACACUAGAAAACUUAAUCAUUUUCUUCUUUUACCUUGAUACACCUAGAUCAUUAAGUGUCAGAUGCUGAGUUUGUGCCUAAUGUGUUCCCAUUCAGAGCAAUCACUCACCACUAUGGACUAGCAUGCUAUGUUCCCUGGAUCGGUAGUAUGUGAAUCAGACCUGGAUGAGUGAUGAUUCUUGUUUCCUUUUUGUAUUCAUUUGUUAAAUAAGUAAUAAUGAAUAAAUAAUUAUCUUAUCUUACCUAACAGUAGCAUGUCAUGUUCCCUGGAUCGGUGGCUUGUGAAAUCUGGUUGGAUCGGAUAGGAGUUAAUUAUAUUAAAAAAUGUUAUAUUUGUCGAACCAGGUGUAUACCAUGUUCUCUUGAUCGGUGGUAUGUUCCUUUGGCGAGACAAAUAAAAAAACUAAUAAUUGGUCGAGCCAGGUGCAUACCAUGUUCUCGGGAUCGGUGGUAUGUUCCUUUGGUGAGACCAAUAAAAUAUUACCAUUGCUUCCUUCAAAUUCAAUAAGUGGUUCAACCACAAUGUUCCUGGUAAUAAGUGAUCUGAUCACAAGUUUAAGUUCUUUUUGUUUUUUUGGAUCAUGCUCUCUUUAGGAACCUUUUGGCACAAUCAGCAUUUGAAUUUGUUGAUCCAUUUUUAUCAUUGUAAAAGUUUAAAAUGAUUGAGUCUACUAGUAUCCUAUUGCUUCGUAGCACUCUUAACCUUUGCUUUUCACAGGUAAUUCCAAAGCAUGCAAUGUUUGGAGAUCUACUUCACUGGGACAUUCUCUAGUCAGCUCACUGUUCACUGUCUAGCUCUUGUCAUAUGCCUUUACUUGAGGACAAGUAAAGAUUUAAGUGUGGGGGAACUUGAUAAGCACAUUUCAUAUAUAUAUAAUUUUGGCAUACAAAUAUACCAUUUGUUGAGUUCUGACAUUAGUUUUUGCUAUGAAAUACUGAAUAUUUGAAUGAUAAUCAUAUAAGAGCAUGUUGACUAGUGAAUUGUUUCUUUUGCAGAAAAGUGCGAGAAGGCACUAUAAACUUCAAGAUUCGGUCGAUUGCCAAACGCGAUGAGACUUGGGGCUGGAACGAGAGAACGAGGGACCCGAGCGAGAAGAAAAGAAGUAUCUAGGGGCAAGCUAAUGUUGGAGGAUCAUCUUGAGAAGAAAGGAAGCAGGAGGGCCAAAGUGAAAAAAUGGCAGAUCACAGGAGGUCAAAAUCCCUAGACUCCCUGAUUCCCAAAUCGGGCCUGGCCACAUCUCCCUCUCUUUCCCCUGCCUCCUUCUCCAGCAAAGGCCGCCGCCACGGCCAGGCCGGCGUGGGGCGCGCCACCGGCUCCACUUCGCCGCCGCACCUCCGCACUCCAUCCAUCCAUUCGCUGCACCGCGACCCAUCCACCAUAACUACCACGAGUCCCUUGCUGCACCUCAUGCCACCAAUCUGAAUCUCUUCUUCCUUCUUGCUGCUGUUCAUCCCAAUCUCGCUGCUGUUCAUCUUUGCUACUGCCCGCAGCUCUCUUCGUCUCUCUCAAACUUGUUGAUGCAGAUGCCCUCAACCUCCUGCUGCUCCUCUCUUCUUACGCCCCUGCUGUUGCCCCUUCUACCCCUACCUCGCUGCUGCUCUGCUUCUUUUUCAUCCCCACGCUGCUGCUACUCCUUCUCUCUACGCCCCUGCUGCUGCUUCUUUCCCAAUCUUGCCAUUGCCCUUCUGCAUCUCCAACUUGCUGCUGCUCCUCUGAACCUCUUCUCCUCCUAGUGCUGCUUCUAUCUUGCCGCUUCCCUGCAGCGGUUCCUUUCCUUCACCCGCUGCUCUCUCUGUGUAUGUGUGUGCGUGUUCGUGUGUGUGAGAUUGUGUGUGUUUGUACUUCAUAAGUAUUGAUAGUGUGUGAUGAAGAGAUAUGUUAAUUCCAGGGACAUGUAGCUGUUCUUAUAAUUUUGUUGAUCAGUGAGAAUUGGUACUGAUGCUGAUGACCUUCUAUUUCUAUGUAUGAGAUCUAGCUAAACCUGUCAUUUAUAUUCUGUACUUGUUGAAUAGUGUUCAAUUUUCAGUCCCUAUUUUAGCUCUAGUACCCGUGACAUAUGUUCGUGAUAUAUGUUUCAUGUGGUUUCGUAUUGCUAUUAUGUUGAUCAUUUUAGUGCUAGUAUUGUGUCUUGUGUAAUCCAAACCAUAUAUGAUUUGUGCGUGUCACUAAUUGUCAGCUAGUAGCUUUUAAUAAUUCAUAUUGUUUCUUGUGAAUUUUCUAUCGAUGUUAGUCUCUGUAGAAGUGAGAUGUAUGAACAUUUAAUUUCCAGUCUCUGUGUUAACGAUGUUAGUGUGAAAAUAUAUAUGUUUUUGUUGUGAUAUAUUUAUGUCCCUGUCGUACUAGCAUGUUCCUACCUUGUGUCUCAUACUUGCUAUAUAUAUAUAUAUGGUCUUGCCUUGGUAAUUCCCCUCGUUGAGGAUGUCCGUCUAAAGUUUCAAUUUGCUCAAGUGAUAUGAAAACACCAAAAAGAGAGCUCCUCGUGUUGUUUGUCAUUUUAUUUGUCAUCAUUCUAGAUUUAUAUUUUCUUCUUUCAUCAUCUAAAUUCUGUCACCUAGCUUUAGCCGAGCAUUGUUGCCGUCGCCUAGUCCAUGUGGAGAACAGGACACUGCAGAUUUGGGCGAAAUACCCUGCUGUACUUAUGAUUGAUCACGGCCAUGGCAAAGCAAUGAGCAGCAGCAAAACUAAGAGCAGCGGCAGCAGCUAAGUAGCAGCAAGGCAGUAGCAGCCAGCGGCAGUAAGCAGCGCUAGCAGCAGUCGCAAAGGAGCAGCACAGCAUACGGCGCAUCAGCAUAACGCAGCAGCAGGGCCAGGAGCAGGCACGCGGGCUUGUGUGGGCGAGCGGCGGCAGCAACAGUGCUGUAGCGUGGGCAUCGGCGAGCGGGCGAGAAAGGGCGCGGCCCGGACGGGCACUGGCGCGCUAAGGCACGGCCUGGGUGGGCACGAGUAAGGAUGGCAAUUUUACCCAUGUGUACGGGUACCCACGGGUACCAUACCCGCAUGGGCAGGGUAUGGGCACACUUUUAUACUCACGGGUAGU